UACAGAGGGGGCUAGCGUUGUUCGGAAUUACUGGGCGUAAAGGGCGCGUAGGCGGCCCGCUAAGCCGAACGUGAAAUCCCCGGGCUCAACCCGGGAACUGCGUCCGAUACUGGCAGGCUUGAAUCCGGGAGAGGGAUGUGGAAUUCCAGGUGUAGCGGUGAAAUGCGUAGAUAUCUGGAGGAACACCGGUGGCGAAGGCGGCAUCCUGGACCGGUAUUGACGCUGAGGCGCGAAAGCCAGGGGAGCAAACGGG
rnacentral:rRNA from 1 species